rnacentral:lncRNA from 10 species
UGGUGGCACGAGGAGCCCAUGCAUCUGCUUUUCUCCCUCUGCCAGGCCUCCCUGAAUAAUGGGAGGUCUUGUGUACACACGAAUGAUGCUAUUGAUCCUCCCACUGUGGGCCCCAAGCACUGCCGUUCUUUGUAAGUAGCUGGGGGUUGCGUUUACACUGCUCUCCUCACACACCACCACCUAAUUCCCCCUGGGAUCCAGGGAGCGUAUUUGUACUUGGUUAUAAGUGCAGAGAGCCCUGGAAUCUUUAUCAGGAGAGCAGAAUUUGGGUGGCAGCCUUGUCGCAUACCAGCCUCUCAGGAUCCCUCUCUACCCAGUGGCCUUGCUUUAAGGAUCCCGUACAUGCCAUGCAAAUUGCUGGGUGGAUGAUUCUCUUCUGGACCACGUAACCAUGACUUGGAUAUCCUCUCCUAUGUCCAAAUUGCUUCUAAUCAAUGGUUGAUGAAAGAUGUAAAUGAAUACUAAGUACACUUUAGAAAUAAAAUGAGCUGACAGGAGGCUGAGGCGGGAGAAUCGCUUGAAUCCAGGAGGCGGAAGUUGUGGUGAGCCAAGAUUGCACCAUUGCACUCCAGCCUGGGCAAGAAGAGCAAAACUCCAUCUCAAUAAGAAGAAGGAGAAGGAGAAGGAGAAGGAGAAGGAGAAGAAGAAGUGGUGAGUGGUCUCUCCAUUCCCUUCCAAAUCACUAUUAGAAAAAACAAAGAACAUAGAAUCAGAGGGCCUGGAUUUAAAAUCUCCCUCUGCUAGUUAGUAACUGAAGCACCUAGCACACAAAGAGACAAGAAAUAUUUGUAGCCAGGCACGGUGGCUCACGCCUGUAAUCUCAGCACUUUGGGAGGCCAGAGUGGUAGGAUCGCUUGAGCCCAGGAGUUCAUGACCAGCCUGGGCAACAUAGGGAGACCCUGUCUCUACAAAUUUUUUUCUUAAAAAUCAGGUGGGUGUGGUGACACAUGCCUGUAGUCCCAGCAAUUCAG